rnacentral:rRNA from 1 species
AAUGAACGCUGGCGGCGUGGUUAAGGCAUGCAAGUCGAACGGAGCAAGACCGGUAGCAAUACCUGUCUUGCCCAGUGGCGAACGGGUGCGUAACACGUGAACAAUCUACCUCUAAGUGGGGAAUAGCUCGGCGAAAGCCGAAAUUAAUACCGCAUACGGUCGAGGCUCUCCUGAGCUUCGUACCAAAGUCAGGGACCGCAAGGCCUGAUGCUAAGAGAGGAGUUCGCGGCCUAUCAGCUAGUUGGCGAGGUAACGGCUCACCAAGGCUAAGACGGGUAGCUGGUCUGAGAGGAUGAUCAGCCACACUGGAACUGAGACACGGUCCAGACACCGUACGGGAGCUGCAGUCGCGAAUCAUUCACAAUGGGCGCAAGCCUGAUGAUG